UGGGGAAUAUUGCACAAUGGCGGGAACUCUGAUGCAGCGACGACGCGUGAACGAAGAAGGCUUUCGAGUCGUAAAGUUCUUUUAUAUGGGAAGAUAAUGACGGUACCAUAAGAAAAAGCCCCGGCUAACUACGUGCCAGCAGCCGCGGUAAUACGUAGGGGGCUAGCGUUGUCCGGAAUCACUGGGCGUAAAGGGUUCGCAGGCGGAAAUGCAAGUCAGGUGUAAAAGGCAGUAGCUUAACUACUGUAAGCAUUUGAAACUGCAUAUCUUGAGAAGAGUAGAGGUAAGUUGAAUUUUUAGUGUAGCGGUGAAAUGCGUAGAUAUUAAAAAGAAUACCGGUGGCGAAGGCGUCUUACUGGGCUAAUUCUGACGCUGAGUAACGAAAGCGUGCUUAGCAAACAGG
rnacentral:rRNA from 1 species